CCCUAGGCUGUGCAAACUCCAGUUUGAGGAUCUCAGAGGAAAUGAAAGUUUACAGAAACCUUGGAGGUCACCUGGAAGCACCCUUGGUUUUACAGAUGUGAAAACUGAGAACCCAGAUCACACUCCAAUAAAUGACAGAGCCAGCUGAAAAAGGGUAAAUACAUAUGUCAUCCCUACUGCCGGGACCUGGUACAUCUGGAUUAUCCACAAAAUGGGAAAUUACUGACCUGCCCGCCCACGUGUGAAGUAAGGCUUUCAAGCCAAAAGCACACUCAGGUGGCCUCCCUGUGCACCUUCACAGGCUCAUGUUCUCUCUUGGCCAUUACUCCGUUCCUUGGGGCCUGUCACAUUGGAGCUCCACUGUGCUGUGCGUUGUGACUUUGUAGACAACACAGUAGAAUGCGCGGAUGGUUAACCCAACAGAUCUGGGAUCAGAUGCAAGCCUUUGAUCCGUAUGACUACAUGUCCCCGUGCAGGCUGUGGUCUUGGUGACAGAUGUACUCAGCGCUGCUGAAAAUCAGAUGUGAAAUGUGAAUGUGUGUGUUGGUUGUCUUUUCGUCUGAUAAAGAACCUCAGCAUGAACACCCUGCUAGGGAAUCCAUCAUUUUUCACUGGUUCCAUUAAAAUGAGGCCCUCCAACUAGUAGGUUGUUACCGACUUCCAACAUGUCCUCAGCCUGGUUCUUGGUAGCACGCCUGUCUUUAUGGGGUUCCUGGUUCGCUGAAGUUUUCAGAAAGAAAGGGGUACAAAUGGUGGCGACGCCACUCCUCUGCAAAUUGGACUAACUCUAGCAUCUCCUCUCCUGGCACAUCAAGAGUUUUCUUUAAAAGUCAGUUGUUUUUUCCCCAAAGCUUGGGGACACUUGCAUUAAAGGAUCUUGGUCUCUUGUCAGUUUCUGGGAGCUCACUAGCAUGUCUGAACAGGAUUCCUGAAAUUAGGCAGCAAUAUUCAUCUUUCCUUCACAUGCGAAUGAAACUGAUAUUCAGUUUGGGGCCAAGACGUUGUUUUCCCCGCUGCUUCCUGACCAACACUGAGUACGAAAGGCCAGACCCAUGGAUUUGCCUGCUUGUUUUUCCCCCUAACAAAGUCAACUCUUGAUUGGAGAAGCAAUAGCUGUUGUAAAGAGUUUGUUCAGCGUGUGGUUUGCAUCUGCUGAAUUCCCAUUCAACUUAACUGCGCUGGGCAGGGGCGUGGGAAGGGAAUGGGGAAUCAGUAAAAGGCACACAGAAUAGCACAUGUGGCCAACCGAUGGCUUCAUUUUGAGUAGUAACUGAUGUGAAUUUUUCAACUGGAGUCUGUUGAAGUUCCUGCAAAGGGGGGAAAAGGUCCCCCCAGACAGGUUCCUGACAAAGAGUUACUUGGUCAAGAGCUUUAAUGGCUCCUAAUACACACAUUCAGAUCCUGUCAUGGAAAAUCUGUGCCAAUUUGCACUCUGCCCAGCAGUCCCUAAGCAGCAUAAUUUCUCCUAUAGUCUCCUGCAUAAUAUAUUCCAUUUAAAAAUUCUCUCUCUCUCUCUUUUUUUGUAAUGCUUAAUCCCUUAAGGUUUGGAAGGUGAGGUGGGGAAGUGAUUGAAUAGUUUGGUCUAUUCCAAUUUUUGAAAAAUGUAAUUAAUGGAGUUUAGGGCUCAGAGACAUUGGUGAUUUUGUGACCCCUGCCCCCUCCAAAUCCAGUCUUUCUCAGAAGGGCUCUGCAGAGGGUCUGGGCUUCAGACCCAUUGUCCUCUGAGGCUCUGACGGGGGUCUUUUCUGAAGUGGAAAGACACAGCGGGCGUGUGUGAAGUAGCCGUGAAGCGGGUGUUGUAGGAAAGCCUGCCACCACCCGUCCCUGACUGAGGUGAGGGCAGGAUCCAAGGGUGCAAGCUGUUAGAGGAAAGAUAGCAAAUUAGGAGAACAGCCCCAAGGAUUCAAAUCUCUGAGGGGUUUGACUACAUGUGAGGAGCCGUUGUUCCUCCCCCAGCUCCAGAUC